rnacentral:rRNA from 1 species
AUUGAACGCUGGCGGCAGGCCUAACACAUGCAAGUCGAGCGAGCGGCGGACGGGUGGGUAAGGAAUGGGGAUCUGCCCGGGAGAGAGGGAUAAGUACUGGGAACGGUGGCUAAUACCGCCUUCUAGCGGAUGAACCCAUAGGGGAUUAGCUAGUAGGUGGGGAAAAGGCACACCUAGGCCAGGAACUCUAGCUGGUCUGAGAGGAUGAUCAGCCACACUGGGACUGAGACACGGCCCAGACUCCUACGGGAGGCAGCAGUGGGGAAUAUUGCACAAGGGGCGAAAGCCUGAUCCAGCCAUGCCGCGUGUAUGAAGAAGGUCUUAGGGUUGUAAAGUACUUUCAGCGGGGAGGCGUUACCCGCAGAAGAAGCACCGGCUAACUCCGUGCCAGCAGCCGCGGUAAUUC